rnacentral:lncRNA from 1 species
UUUUAUUUUCUUAUGCCAAUUUUUGUAGGAGCUAGUGGUAUUAUUCCAGAGCUCCUCAUCAACUAGCAUAAUUUUUGGACAAUAUUCUAUAUAUAUAACAAUAUAUAUCCAAAGCAAAUAAUUACUGCAUUAAUUCCAAAAGGCCAAAAUAGAUAUCUAUGAGCUCCUAAAGUAUUGGUUUGAUUUUUAUCUCUUCCAAUAUUUUCAGAGAGCAACAUGAACAUUUUCUUGGACCCUUUUGGAGCAAUUUUUAUCUGGGACAUUUCCAGAAAUGAUUCUGAGGGUUUCACAAAUCCCCAUUUCAAAUUUAAAUGAAAUUUAGACAUGAUGCCCACAUGACUAGCUAGUCUAGGUCAUACCAGAACUAGGGACGUGACAACUCGCCCCCACUUGAAAGAAUGUCGUCCCGAGAUUCAGGGGUCGAUGGAAAGAAGGUGGGGUACUCCAGUCGAAGACGAUCUUCUCGCUCCCAAGUAGCUUCUCUCUAAGAAUGAUGAGACCACUGAACCUUGAGAAACUUGAUGUUCUGACGUCGGGUGACACGCUCUGCUUGAUCAAGAAUGCGAAUAGGGUACUCUCGAUAUGUGAGGUUAUCUUGGAGAUCAAGCGUUUCGUGGUCCACUCCGCGGAUGGGAUCCGAGAAGCAACGCCUGAGUUGAGAGACGUGGAAGACAUCAUGGACUCGGGAAAGAUAUGGGGGUAGUUCCAACUGGUAGGCAACCUCUCCUCGUUUAGCAAGAAUGAGGAACGGACCAAUAUAACGAGGAGCCAACUUGCCCUUGAUACCGAAUCGAUGGGUACCCUUUAGAGGAGUAACCCGAAGGUAAGCCUUGUUGCCAACUUCAUAAGCCACUUCCUUAUGACGACGGUCAUACUGGCUCUUCUGACGAGACUGGGCUGUUUUUAAAUUCUCACGAAUGAUGCGAACUUGCUCUUCUGCUUCCUGGAUCAUGUCCGGUCCAAAGAAUUGUCUUUCACCGGUUUCUGACCAGUUCAAAGGUGUUCGACAUCUUCGUCCAUACAGGAUCUCGAAAGGAGCUUUCUUAAGACUGGAUUGAUAGCUAUUGUUAUAAGCAAACUCGGCGAAAGGUAGGCAUUUCUCCCGAUCCAUACCGAAUGAGAUAACGCAAGCUCUAAGCAUGUCUUCGAGAAUUUGGUUGACCCUUUCCACCUGACCACUUGAUUGAGGGUGGAAAGCGGUACUGAAGGAAAGAUGGGUGCCCAUGGCAGUUUGGAAACUCUCCCAGAAAUGAGAAGUGAAGAGACUACCACGGUCUGAAUUGAUCUCUAGUGGAACACCAUGAAGUGACACUAUUCGAGAAAUAUAUAAGUCAGUGAGCUGACUAGCAGUGAUACUCUCUCGAACAGGUAGGAAGUGAGCCACUUUGGAAAGACGAUCAAUGACUACAAAGAUAGCGUUAUUCCCUUUCUUGGUCCUGGGAAAGCCGGUGAUGAAGUCCAUACCAACUUUAUCCCAUUUCCACUCAGGAAUGGCUAAAGGUUGAAGGGUGCCAGCAGGCCUUUGAUGCUCUGCCUUAACGCGACGACAAACGUCACAGUUAGCUAUGAACUCAGCAAUUUCUCUCUUCAUCCUAGUCCACCAGAACCUCUGGCGUAGGUCCUGAUACAUCUUAGUACUACCAGGAUGAAUCGUGAGAGGGGAUUCAUGUGCCUCCUUAAGGAUCAAUUGUCGCAGAUGUUGAUUCUUGGGAACCACCAGGCGAUUCUCAAAGAAAACAGCACCUCGAUCAUCCAUGGAAAAACAUCCACCAACUCCCUUCUUAAUGUUUCUCUUGAUGCGGGUAACACCCCUAUCAAACUUCUGGUCAGAAAUGAUCUGAUCCUCAAGGGUAGGUUUCGCCACCAAGGUAGAGAGGUAUCCGUGAGGAGCAAUGUGAAGGUUAAGCUUACAGAAUUCCUCAUGGAGAAGUGGUUGGCCCUGCUGCAACAUAAGAUUGUUGCAAUAGGACUUACGACUUAGCGCAUCAGCCAUGACAUUGCCCUUGCCUGGGGUGUAGGUAAUCCCUAAGUCGUAAUCUGAGAUCAACUCCAACCAACGUCUUUGCCUAAGGUUCAAAUCUGGUUGGGUGAAAAUAUACUUGAGACUCUGGUGAUCGGUGUAAAUCUCGCAACGUUUACCAAGAAGGUAAUGUCGCCAUGUCUUAAGAGCAUAGACUACGGCUGCAAGCUCUAGAUCAUGUGUAGGAUAGUUCUCCUCAUGUGGAUGCAACUGUCGAGAUGCAUAGGCAAUCACAUGACGAUGCUGCAUAAGGAUGCAGCCUAGUCCCUGUCGUGAGGCGUCGCAGUAGAUAACAAAGUCUUUAGUGGAAUCUGGUGGCACAAGUAUGGGGGCAGAAGUCAGGCGUCUUUUCAGUUCCUGAAAACUGUAUUCACACUGUGGGGACCACUCAAACUUUUUAUCCUUCUUGAGAAGUUCCGUGAGGGGUUUGGCUACUUUGGAGAAGUUUUCAACGAAGCGGCGACAAUAACUGGCUAGACCAAGGAAACUCCUAACUUGUUUAACGGUUUCAGGUGGAGUCCAAUCAAGAACGGCCUGAACUCUCUCAGGAUUGACAGCAAUGCCCUUACCAGAGAUCAUGUCGCCUAGGUAGGUCACUUCUGGCAACCAAAAUUCGCACUUGGAGAACUUGGCAUAAAGGCGGUGCUCUCUGAGUUUUUCUAACACAAGUCUAAGAUGUUCGGCAUGCUCUUCCUCGUUCUUCGAGUAGAUAAGGAUAUCAUCGAGGUAAACCACGACGAACUUGUCUAAGUACUCCAUGAAGAUCGAGUUCAUCAAGCGGGAGAAGGUAGCUGGAGCAUUGGUUAGACCAAAGGACAUGACGGUGUACUCGUACUGGCCAUAACGAGUGACAAAAGCCGUCUUAGGAAUGUCCCCGUUUCUAAUCUUGAUUUGAUGGUAGCCUAACCUCAAAUCCAUCUUGGAAAAGACUGAGGAUCCAGCGAUUUGAUCAUACAGGUCGUUGAUCCUGGGGAGCGGAUACUUGUUCUUUAUCGUGACCAAAUUAACGGGACGAUAAUCUACAACCAUCCGGUCCGUACCAUCCUUCUUCUUGACGAAGAGGACGGGGCAAGCCCAAGGAGAAGAACUAGGACGGAUGAAACCCUUUUGCAAGGAUUCAUCGAGUUGUUUCUUAAGCUCGGCUAGCUCUAAGGGUGCCAUCUUGUAAGGUCUCCUAGAGAUUGGGGCGGUUCCUGGGAUAAGAUCUAUGACAAACUCUACAUCUCUGUCAGGUGGAAUACCUGGCAGUUCUUCUGGAAAGACAUCCGAAAAGUCACGGACUACCAGGAUAUCCUCAAGGUCUGGAAGAGGACUGGCAUUAAGAGAAUAAAGCUGACGCUUUGCAACUCUGGCGGAGACAGUGACUAACUUACCAGAUGGGUGUGUGAGUUGAACAGACUGGGUGUAACAAUCAAUCUUGGCAUAAUGAGCUUUCAUCCAGUCCAUACCCAAGAUGAUGUUAAUAUCUGAAGACUUGAGGGCUAUGAGUGAUGCAAGGAAUACAAGUCUGUCAACAAGGAUUUCGUUACCAUGGCUUACACUAGAAGUUUGCCAUUUGGAUCCAGGAGUUUGAAUGAGUAGUGGGGAGGGCAUAUCACAAAAUGAUAUGUCAUGCAAGCGGGCAUAACUUUGGGAAAUGAAGGAAUGAGGCGCCCCAGUAUCAAAUAGAACCGAAGCUGGAUGACAGUUUACAAGGAGUGUACCAAGAACGACAUCUGGAUCAUCCUGAGCGUCUUUAGCUGAGACGUGAUGCACACGUCCACAUUCGGUGGGAGCUGACUUGGUACUGAUCAUCUUGCGUGAUGGCUUACCACGGCCAACAGACUUCUCGGGCUGGGAUGGAGCAACACGGGUCUGAGUGCAAAUACGGGCGGUGUGUCCUGGCUCUCCGCACUUCUAACAAAUCUUGGAGGUAGGACGUGGACCCGCGUUGGCAGGCGGUCCACCAAUAGGCCUGGGUGGAGCAUACGGCUGAACUGGGUGAGGCGCCACAUAAGAUGGACUCGGUGUAUAACCGGGUGGAAGAGCAGAGUUCGGAAUCCAAAUCCGGCGCUUCUGAGAACUAGAACCGGAGGAAGACCCCAAUUCACGGGUGUGCUUACGAGACUCCUCGUAGGUGAGCUGAGCUGUCUCCGCAUUAAUGGCCUUGUUCACAAGAGCUUGGAAUGUAUUGCAAUGGUGCAGGUGGAGAUCUCGACGCAACUUGGGGUUGAGACCCUUCCGGAACCUAGCCUGCUUCUUAGCGUCCGUGGACACUUCUUCUGUAGCAUAGCGGGCGAGGUUCUCAAACUCUCUAGUGUAAGCAUCAACAGCCAUCUUACCCUGGGUAAAACUAUAGAAGUCUUCUCUCUUGCGGUCAAUGAGAGCCUGAGGAAUGUGAUGCUCGCGAAAAGCCUCAGUGAAAUCCCUCCAGGUCGGCAUCUGGCCAGCUGGAAGCAUAGCCUCAUAGUUCUGCCACCAAAGACUAGCAGGACCUUCCAGGUGAUAUGCAGCAUAAGUGACCUUGUCACCUUCAGCUACGUUCGCAGAACGCAGCUUGUGUGUGAUACUACGGAGCCAGUCAUCUGCAUCGAGUGGCUCAAUGGAAUGAUGGAAGGUAGGUGGUUUCAGACCAAUGAAAUCAUAGAUGGUCGCUGACUCUUUGCACUGGGAUGCGGUGUUCUCCUCGAUACGUGCUAACAAGCGGUAAGACUCAUGCUUGUUCCUCUCCAUCUCUAACAUAAACUCUGCCAGCGAAGGCUGGUCGGGAGGAUCCUCCUCAUCCCUACCACCUCCGUGGUUCAGGCAACGAGCAACAGAACUUCGGUUAACUGACGACAUCCUGAGAAGCGGAACCAAGGACGAGGUCAACAACAACUAUAGGAUGCAACAUGUAGCAUAAGAAAAUUUAGUAUCUCUCAAACUCCUAGGACAAAUCCAGUAGCAUAACGGCAGUAAAACGCUCAAAAUGGGACAUUCUGCAAAAGGCGGGGCGGCACCAUACUCAACAUCGUCACUCAAGGUUCUGAGAUAUUACUAAAUAGGCUACACUGGAGGUACUCAAACUGGGAUAUGACUCUGAUCAACCAACCCUAAGAGACUACGGAGUAGUAACACGUGAUCCUGAUAGACAGAAGAGGAAGCCUAGUUCCUUAACCCCGUAGGAAAGAUAGGAUGACUCAGAUCAGAAGGGCAUGAGGUAAAGAAGUAAAAGAGCCUUACGUUCCCUUCCACAAUCAAUUCCCUUACAUAACUAAAGAAUUUCUAGACUCAACUUCGACCAGGUUGGCUUGGAAAUCCUACAGGCAGUCAGGCUCUGAUACCAAAGCUGUCGGGACCCCGAUUCUAAGUCACACCGAUCUAGCAUGUAACACCUCAUAUCACUUUGCGGCCUCACGCACGGUAUUCCCACGGGUGUCGCCUUACCAUGGCCCGGGACCGUUUGCGCCUUUUGGCUCACGUAUAUGACAAUGUCGCUAGCAUCCAUAUGACAGAGAACCCGGGCCGACAUGGCUAGUCCUGAACCCAAAGCGGCACUAACGUAUGGGGACAAGCAUACAUGAAUCAACAUCGAGCGUGUCGGUCAGCAGCGUGUGAAUCCGGGCUGUAGCACUGGGCUAACAGGACUCCGGGAACCCGGGCUGUAGCAGGCUAGGCAGGACUCCGGAUGUCACCGCGUGACAUUUCCCCGAAGGGACAGACACAGGAACGAAAUGAAACACAUGCCGGCCAGUCAAGUGUCCAGAGCAGUAGUGCUGGGCUAGCAGGAUUGCGGUGAACCGGGCUGUAGCGGACUACUUUGGCUCAAGGAGGCACUAGACUACAUUUCCCCAUAAGAGAGGCUGCCAAGGAUAAACAACUAGAUUGUCGGAUCCCACACAUAGCAAUACACGUUACAUGUACGCAUAACAUGCAAGUAUGAGCUGUACAACAUGGCAUCACAACAUAACGCAAACUCAUAUAGAUAAAAGGCCCAGAAGAGCCACAUAGCAUUAAGUACAAACAGGGGUCAGAUGACCCAUCAUUCAGAGCAUACAAGCAACGGAAGCAUUACAUGUCUGGGUACUGACAACUACAAAAGAAAAAGGCUGAGAAGCCUGACUAUCUACAAGACCCUCCCAAGGGUACAAGAUCGUAGCUGAGGUACAAGCUACUCGUCGAAGUCCAAGCGGAGCUACUAGUAAGACUGAAGUCUCCGCUGCAAAAACAUAAACAAAGCAACCUGAGUACAAAGGUACUCAGCAAGACUUACAUCAGAUCCUAUCUUACAUGCAUUUGUAUCAAGAAGGUAGUGUGGGGUUUAGUUGCAGCAAGCCAGCUUUGACUCAGUGGCUAUCCUGUUCUACGACUACGAGAAACUUCUUUGAGGUAAGAAGGCGCACACGAGUCCACUAAUCACCACCUCAAUACAACACUAUGGAUUCAUUCCCGUCUCACUACAAGAAGCCAUCCAUAGCACUCACACUUAUCUUGAGCAUUUUAGAGUAUCCACUUCAAGUUGUCUAUGUACCACGUAAGCAUCCAAGAAGUCCAUAACCGAGGACACGGCUAUUCGAAUAGAUCAUGAUAACCCUGCAGGGGUGUACUGCUUCACACACGCUCUCGCCACUUACCGCCAUGUACACGUCAUGUACCUCGGCAACCUUCAAGCGGAAGCCUGGCGAGGGUGUCGGCCACAACCUGACUAACCUCACAAGACUCUAGUCCAGGUUUAUCGCCUAUGCGGGUUCCAUCCGCUAGGAGAUCCGGCCGGGGUGUCGCUCACGGCCCCAAACGAUGUGCGCAGGGUUCCCAAGCCCACCUCGCCGGAUGGAUCUACGCUUGGUACACCGUGCCACUUGUGCCUAGUCUGUCCCAAGCCCACCUGGCCGGGUGCCACUUGGUAGACUACUAACACUACCUACAAACACCAGAAACUAAUUGCAACUCCUGGACAGAGAUCAAGUUGGUUAAUAAGUCGAGAGGGGCACUUAAGCAUUCCAAUGUGUGGUUGUAGCUAGUCAUUGGACAACAUACACAGAACUCAGUGCUUAAGGAUGGUUCCAGUGAGACAACCCACCAUGUACUCCUACAUGGCCUCUCACCGCUACCUUUACCAAAUCGUGUUCACACGCUUAACUCUCAGCACCAGAACAUAUCGUAACACCCCAAUUCAUUCCCUAAGAAUCAGACCUGACACAACUCUAAGCAAUAGCAGGCAAGGCAUGGUAGGAACACAACAUGGCUCAAACAACUCCUACACAUGCUAGUGGGUUUCACCUAUUUACUGUGGCAAUGACAGGUCAUGCAGAGGGAUGGGUUCAACUACCGCAGCGUAAAGUAGCAGUUGAAUCGUUGUUGUCCUAAUGCAUAAAAGAGAGCAGGAGCGAUAGAGUAGGAUUGUAUCGGAAUGGACAAGGGGGUUUGCUUGCCUGGUAGAUCAACAGGGUGGCACUGCUCCUCAGACAGGUACUCUGGAACACUCUCCGGAGCAGGACCUAUCGAGAAGGAACGGUGUCGACAAUCAAAACACAAUCAUAUGCAACAAUAUGAUGCAUGAAUAUGGCAUGAAUAUGUGAUGUGUUUUGAGCCAAUGCAUUUAGCAUUCAACUUGGAAGAGAUCCUUUUGAACCAAAGGUUCAAAUGCAACUCUAAUAUAAGUCCCUUUAAAUGCCAUAAGUGUGUUUUCAUAUAUACAGCAUGUAUAGGUUGGUUUGUCAUGCAUGAAAAUGGCACAGAUGGAUAGCUUGAAUUUUUCUGAUAAUUUUUCAUAUAUAACUUAUUUCAAUCUGAGUUACGGUUGAAUUUCUAUGAAUUUUAGAAGUUUUGGCUAUUUUCUGGAAUUUCCUGAUUUAAUCCAAAUCCAGAAAAUAAAUAACUGCGUCAGAGUGACAGUGGCAUGACGUCAGCGAGCCAAACGUGGCUGACCAGGUCAAACCUGACGUGUGGGGUCCACACGUCAGUGUGACAGGGUUAAAUGGGGGGUUAUUUGCUUAAUUAAAGAUUAGGGGGCACUGGGCCCACAUGUCAGUGACAGGGGUUAGGUUAGGUGGUGAUUAGCACUAAGCUAAUCACCUGGCAGGCCAGGCUCACACGUCAGGCCGGCGAGGUCAUCGGCGGCGACCUCAGGACGUGGCGGCGUCCGCGUUACAGGCCACGGGGGCGGCGGCUAAGGGUACCGGAGUGUACCCCGGGCUCUCGCGCAUCUGGUGGGGUAGGUGGGAGGAGCUUGGGAGGCCGGAGCUCGCCGGAGCAAAGCUCGCGGCGGCGGCCGGAGCUCGGGCUCGAGCGGUUGCGGGCUACAGGGCACGGGGAGGCAGGAGAGGAGGGGGAUCCGACGCGGGGGCUCACAGCGGAUCGGCGGGCGUCGUUGGAGAGCUCGGGGAAGGGCUGGAGUCGGCGGGGCGGCGAUGGGGAUCCACGGCGGCCGGAGGCGAAGAUGGCGACGGCGACGGCUCCACGGGGCGCUCCGGCUUGCGUGGCUUGGCCGAGAGCUUCAGAGCGAGGAGGCGGAGCUCCUGCGCUUGUCGGAGAGGCAAGGGGGAGACGGUGGCUGCGGCAAUGGCGAGUGGCGGCGACGGCAGCGUUCGGCCGUGCGUGGGAGAGAGACCGGGGGGAGGAACGAGAGAGAGGGAGAGAGGUACGGGGCGUCGUGGUGACGUCCAGGAGACCGAGGCAUCGAGGGGGAGGGCAGGCAGGCAGCUGCCGUGGCGCGCAUGCGCGCGGGGUGCGGCGACCACGCGCCCUGUCCCUCUGGCGCGAGGAGGGGGACGACUGGCGCUGGCCAGUCAGCUGGGCUGGCACAGAGCCAGGCCAGCAAGUGGCCCAGGUAAGUCCAGGUAAGGGUUUCCCCCUUUUUGUUUAUUUUCUAUUUUUCUGACAUUUGUUCUGAUUGAGUAGAAUACUAAAUCAUUUUAUUUUCUUAUGCCAAUUUUUGUAGGAGCUAGUGGUAUUAUUCCAGAGCUCCUCAUCAACUAGCAUAAUUUUUGGACAAUAUUCUAUAUAUAUAACAAUAUAUAUCCAAAGCAAAUAAUUACUGCAUUAAUUCCAAAAGGCCAAAAUAGAUAUCUAUGAGCUCCUAAAAUAUUGGUUUGAUUUUUAUCUCCGUCCAAUAUUUUCAGAGAGCAACAUGAACAUUUUCUUGGACCCUUUUGGAGCAAUUUUUAUCUGGGUCAUUUCCAGAAAUGAUUCUGAGGGUUUCACUAAUCCCCAUUUCAAAUUUAAAUGAAAUUUAGACAUGAUGCACACAAGACUAGCUAGUCUAGGUCAUACCAGAACUAGGGACGUGACAGGGUAAAUAUUGGGUUGUCUCCCAACAAGCGCUUUUCUUUAGUGCCUUUUAGCUAGGCAUGAUGAUUUCAAUGAUGCUCAUAUAAAAGAAAAGAAUUUAAACAUAAAGAGAGAAUCAUGAAGAAUAUGACUAGAACAUUUAAAUCUUACCCACUUCCUAUGCCUAGGGAUUUUGUGAGCACAUAAUUUAUAGGAACAAGAAUCAACUAGCAUAGGAAGGCAAAACAAGUAUAACUUCAAAACUUUAAGCACAUGGAGAGGAAACUUGAUAUUAUUGCAACUCCUACAAGCAUAUAUUCCUCCCUCAUAAUAUUUUUCAGUAGCAUAAUGAAUGAAUUCAUCAAUAUAACUAUCACAUAAAGCAUUCUUUUCAUGAUCUACAAGCAUAGAGAAUUUUCUACUCUCCACAUAAGCAAAAUUCUUCUCAUUCGGAAUAGUGGGGUCACUAAUUCCUAAAGUUGACACUCUUCCAAACCCGCUUUAGAUGAUACUAUUAUUCAUACUCCAAAAUAUAUAAGUGAAGUUCAUGGAGCAUUCUACGAUUAAUAUAGACUAACCAAUAUCCAAGCUCAAAAUAUAUAAGUGAAGCACACGAAGCAUUCUACAAAACCAUACUCAAAAGAUUUAAGUGAAGCACAAAGAGCAUUCUAUAAGGUCAUACUCAAAAGAUAUAAGUGAAGCACAUGAUAUAAAUUGAUGAAGGGACAUCUCAUACUAGCAUGGUUCUUAAAGAAAAAACAAAAACACAACGGACACAAAUCAUGUGAACAAAACAAAAACCGAG